rnacentral:rRNA from 1 species
AACACAUGCAAGUCGAACGGUAACAGGAAGAAGCUUGCUUCUUUGCUGACGAGUGGCGGAGGGGUGAGUAAUGCCUGGGAAACUGCCUGAUGGAGGGGGAUAACUACUGGAAACGGUAGCUAAUACCGCAUAACGUCGCAAGACCAAAAAGGGGGACCUUCGGGCCUCUUGCCAUCGGAUGUGCCCAGAUGGGAUUAGCUAGUAGGUGGGGUAACGGCUCACCUAGGCGACGAUCCCUAGCUGGUCUGAGAGGAUGACCAGCCACACUGGAACUGAGACACGGUCCAGACUCCUACGGGAGGCAGCAGUGGGGAAUAUUGCACAAUGGGCGCAAGCCUGAUGCAGCCAUGCCGCGUGUAUGAAGAAGGCCUUCGGGUUGUAAAGUACUUUCAGCGGGGAGGAAGGGAGUAAAGUUAAUACCUUUGCUCAUUGACGUUACCCGCAGAAGAAGCACCGGCUAACUCCGUGCCAGCAGCCGCGGUAAUACGGAGGGUGCAAGCGUUAAUCGGAAUUACUGGGCGUAAAGCGCACGCAGGCGGUUUGUUAAGUCAGAUGUGAAAUCCCCGGGCUCAACCUGGGAACUGCAUCUGAUACUGGCAAGCUUGAGUCUCGUAGAGGGGGGUAGAAUUCCAGGUGUAGCGGUGAAAUGCGUAGAGAUCUGGAGGAAUACCGGUGGCGAAGGCGGCCCCUGGACGAAGACUGACGCUCAGGUGCGAAAGCGUGGGGAGCAAA